rnacentral:rRNA from 1 species
UACGGAGGGUGCAAGCGUUAUCCGGAUUCACUGGGUUUAAAGGGUGCGUAGGCGGGCAUGUAAGUCUGUGGUGAAAUCUCCAAGCUUAACUUGGAAACUGCCAUGGAUACUAUAUGUCUUGAAUGUUGUGGAGGUUAGCGGAAUAUGUCAUGUAGCGGUGAAAUGCAUAGAUAUGACAUAGAACACCGAUUGCGAAGGCAGCUCACUACACGGUGAUUGACGCUGAUGCACGAAAGCGUGGGUAGCGAACAGG